rnacentral:misc_RNA from 1 species
GAUGAAGAACGUAGCGAAAUGCGAUACGUAAUGUGAAUUGCAGAAUUCAGUGAAUCAUCGAAUCUUUGAACGCAUAUUGCGCUCUCUGGUAUUCCGGAGAGCAUGCUUGUUUGAGUAUCAGUAAACACCUCAACUUCCAUAUCUUUUUUGAAAUGGGAGUUGGACUUGAGUGAUCCCAACGCUUUUCCUCACCGAAAAGUGGCGGGUUACUUGAAAUGCAGGUGCAGCUGGACUUUUCUCUGAGCUAUAAGCAUAUCUAUUUAGUCUGCCUAAAAAACAGAUUAUUCCUUUGCUGCAGCUAACAUAAAGGAGAUUAGUUCUUGUGCUGACUGAUGCAGGAUUCACAAAGACAGGCUUCGGCCGACUUUGUAAACUCGAUCUCAAAUCAAGUAAGACUACCCGCUGAACUUAAGCAUAUCAAUAAGCGGAGGA